GUUGCUCAAUAAAAACAACUCAGCCGAUUACCAUUGAAGUUUUAUUAUUUGUUCUCUCUUACUUUGUAUACCAAUAGUAAAUAGCGCAGCAGUCCAAACAUAGAUUGAUCAGCGAUCACUCCUCAUCUUUUCUUCAGUCAACUUCGGUUGGGUUGCUAACAUGGAUUGAUUUUGAGUGGAUAAAACCGAAGAAUUUUGCUGAAUCGUGCUUAUAACAUAGUGCAUUGUGUAAGUUUGCUUAAUUUUAACCAACGUUUAUGGUUGAAUCGUGCCUCUAAUGUGGUGUAUUAUGUAAAUUUAGUUGAUUUCUGUUCGAAUUUUAGUAGACUAACGGAAGAUUUUGGUUAAAUUGUUCUUGUAACCUAUGCAUUAUUUUCAUUUGACUUGAAGUGGAUUAAACCAAAAAUUCAGGUUGAAUCAUGCUUCUACAAGUGUAUUAUGUAAGUUUUGCUUGAUUUGCAGAGGAUUUAAUCAAAGAUUCAUGUUGAAUCGUGCUUAUAACAUAGUGUAUUGUGUAAAUUUGCUUAAUUUUCUUCGAUUUCAAGUGAAAUUAACAGAAGAUUCUUGUUGAAUGGUGCUUUUAUGCAGCCUAUUAUGUAAAUUUGCUUAAUUUUCUUCGAUUUUAAGUGAAUUAACAGAAGAUUCUAGUUGAAUCGUGUUUUUUUGCAGUGUAUUAUGUAAUUUUGCUUAAUUUUGUUUUGAUUUGAAGUGGAUUAAAAAUUGUGCUUAUAACAUGGUGCAUAAUGUAAGUUUGCUUAAUUUUAAUUCGAUUUGAAGUGGUUUUACCGAAGAUUCGGGUUGAGUUUUACCAAUCACCUAGUGUAUUAUGUAAGCUUGAUUGAUUUCUAUUUUACCUUAACUGGAUUUAACCGAAAAUUGUGGUUGAACCGUGCUUAUGACAUAACGUAUCAUGUAAGUUUGCUUGAUUUUCGUUCAGUUUGAAAUGGAUUAAAGUGAAGAUGUAAGUUUGUUUGAUUUGAAGUUGAUUUAAUCGUGCUUAAUGUAGUGUAUUAUAUAAGUUUGCUUAGUUUUUGUUUGAUUUGAAGUGAAACUAAUCGAAGAUUCAGGUUGAAUUGUGCAGAUUUCGAGCUUUUGUGCAUAAAUAUAGAGAUUUAUGGAGAACAAUACCCUAUCGAAUCGCUUGAUUAUGAGUAAUCCUUCACUUGGUUUAAUGUAAAUUGAUUUGAUCCAGUAGUUAACCAUUCUGCAGUUCCCGCUUUAGUAAGGCCUUAUAGUCAUGGAUAAUAAUAUUAUUCUCCAAUAACUCUGGAAGCAUGGAUAGAUAUAAAAUGUCUACUUACAGCUUUUCUCGCUUCACUGGCUCGGUGUUCUUCACCAUUGUGCCGACAUUUCCUAUCUUCUUUACCAGGGACGCACCACAACCAUUUCACUCGACUGUUGCAUCAAAUAAUAAUUAGAUUGUUGCAUCAAUGAAUUAAUUAGACUUUCUCAAUACAAUCCCAUGUCGAUUAAGAUAACCAUGGGAAGUUAUUGUGAAAAAUGAUUAUGAAAGAUGAUGAAAUUAAAAAAAAAUAUCCUUUUCACCACAUUGCCGAACAAGGAAUCGAUUAUAGUUUCUCAGCUUAUUACAUGAUUAAUUUCAGACUCUGA
rnacentral:lncRNA from 1 species